AUGAAGUCUAGUUUCAUCAAAUGAAUUGUCGAGGUAACUGGAUGGCUCUGAGAGUAAAGUAUCUGAGGAUCUGAGGUAUAGUCUCACUACACACAGAAGAUGGGCCCAGUGAUGCAUGGAGGUCAUCCCAGCACUGGCAGGAACAGGGUCUGGAAAUCCUGCCUCUAUAUCUUCAUCCAGAGAUUUGCUUCUGCCAUCUUUAUUUAGUCAAAGAAAUUAUUAUGGAACCUCUACCUUCAUGUCACCUUUUAUGUGCAAAAAAAAAAGCAACAAUAAGAAUAACGACAAAAUUAAAAACAACAAACAAACAAACAAAAAAACCUCUCCUCUCUGAUAUAAAUUGAAAAAAAUCAUGAGAGGUAAAUUACAUAGUAUGAGGUACAAAUGACAUCCAGUCCAUCAAUUUGUCAGUUUAGAUAAAGCACUGAACCAUCUAUCCUAACGUAGAAGGCUUACUUAUCCUACACCUGAGUUAUGUCCUGUGUUAGGCUUGUAUACCAUCUGAAAACUGUCCUCUCAAAUCUACAUCAUCUCUCUCAACACUAAAGAGCUUGGGAGGCUAUGAGACAAUAACAACUCUUCAACCCCUCCAAAAAUCCAAGAGCGACAUAAAUAUUACCUGAAAAAUAUAGGAAGCACUGACAUAAUUUUCAAAAAGUAAACAAAUUGAAGAGACAGGGUCUACCUCAUAGUUCCCUAUUCCUCUAAAUGUUGGAGCAAUUGUCUUCAACCUACUGGCCCAGAAUAUCAGACGGACCUUAAGUGAAACAGAAAUUAUCAUGAAAAACUAGCUUAUUCUGUCUAUGCAGAACUAAGCUGUCAACUCUCCUGCAUCGUUUGUUCUUUCAAAGACAGUACUUUUUGUCUGUAGUUGAAUUUGGGCAACUUCUGCUCAGUGGCUGCUCUGCCAUGAAAACAGCCUCCUAAAGAUAAUGAUGUUCAACAUCCUCUCCUUUAGCCUCCCUCAGCCUUGAAGCAGGCUGAGUCAGACUUCGCUGACUCUGAAUAUGAGAUCAUCUGGGGUGUAGCCUUCCUACUUAGAUGGCUAUAUUGUUAUGUCAACUAUCACUGCUCUUCUCAGAGACUCUGCUACCUGCUGAGAGACCCUUGAGACAUUCUGGAGACACAUCCUAUC
rnacentral:lncRNA from 1 species